CCUGAAUUGGGAGAUGUCAUUGAACAAACCUUCGCUGCUGCCAUCAGCAAAUACCCCCAGGUCCUUGGGCCGCACAGCUCACCUGUCACCCAGGUGAUUCCACACCCAGGAAGAAAUUAAACCCUUUUGAUUUUCCUGUCUAAACACCCACAAAAAAUUCAUAAGCAUCUCCAAGGGUCUGGUUUUUUUCUGGCCCUUCUUGGGGUUUUUUUCUGGUUUCUUGGCCAUAUUGGGUUUUUUUCUACGUUUUUUCUUGCCCAUCUUCGGGUUUUUUUCUGUUUUUUUCUUCUGGGUUUUCUCUUACUCUUCUUGUGGUUUUUUCUGGAUUUUUUUAUUGUCCUUCUUGUUUUUUUUUCUGGGAUUUUUCUGGAUUUUUUCUUGCCCAUCUUCGGGUUUUUUUCUGGGUUUUUUCUUGCCCAUCUUGGGGGUUUUUUCUGGAUUUUUUCUUGCCCAUCUUGGGGUUUUUUUCUGGGUUUUUUCUUGCCCAUCUUGGGGUUUUUUUCUGUUUGUUUUUCUGGGGUUUUCCUUGCCCAUCUUGGGGUUUUUUCUGGGUUUUUUUCUGGGAUUUUUCUGGUCUAUUUCUGGGGUUUUUUUCUGGGUUUUUCUUGCGAAUCUUGGGGUUUUUCCUGGGGUUUUUUUG
rnacentral:lncRNA from 1 species